rnacentral:rRNA from 1 species
UACAGAGGUCUCGAGCGUUAGGCGGAAUCACUGGGCUUAAAGCGUGUGUAGGCGGAUUGGUAAGUACUUUGUGAAAUCCCACGGCUUAACCGUGGAACUGCUUGGUAUACUGCCAGUCUUGAGCCAGCUAGGGGCUACCGGAACAAAUGGUGGAGCGGUGAAAUGCGUAGUUAUCAUUUGGAACGCCAAUGGUGAAAACAGGUAGCUGGGGCUGUGCUGACGCUGAGACACGAAAGCCAGGGGAGCAAACGGG